GGACUUUGUAGCUUAACGGUAAGAGCGCACCUUUAAUGGAUUUUGGUGAGGUUCGAGGUUCGAAUCCCGGCGGGUCCG